AGAGCGAACGCUGGCGGCAGGCCUAACACAUGCAAGUCGAGCGCCCGUAGCAAUACGGGAGCGGCAGACGGGAGAGUAACACGUGGGAACGCGCCCUUCGGUUCGGAAUAACUCAGGGAAACUUGAGCUAAUACCGGAUACGCCCUUACGGGGAAAGAUUUAUUGCUGAAGGAACGGCCCGCGUCCGAUUAGCUAGUUGGUGAGGUAAUGGCUCACCAAGGCGACGAUCGGUAGCUGGUCUGAGAGGAUGACCAGCCUCACUGGGACUGAGACACGGCCCAGACUCCUACGGGAGGCAGCAGUGGGGAAUAUUGGACAAUGGGCGCAAGCCUGAUCCAGCCAUGCCGCGUGGAUGAUGAAGGCCUUAGGGUUGUAAAGUCCGUUUUAACGGGGAAGAUAAUGACGGUACCCGUAGAAUAAGCCCCGGCUAACUUCGUGCCAGCAGCCGC
rnacentral:rRNA from 1 species